rnacentral:rRNA from 1 species
UGGGGAAUAUUGCACAAUGGGCGCAAGCCUGAUGCAGCCAUGCCGCGUGUGUGAAGAAGGCCUUCGGGUUGUAAAGCACUUUCAGCGGGGAGGAAGGCGAUAAGGUUAAUAACCUUGUCGAUUGACGUUACCCGCAGAAGAAGCACCGGCUAACUCCGUGCCAGCAGCCGCGGUAAUACGGAGGGUGCAAGCGUUAAUCGGAAUUACUGGGCGUAAAGCGCACGCAGGCGGUCUGUCAAGUCGGAUGUGAAAUCCCCGGGCUCAACCUGGGAACUGCAUUCGAAACUGGCAGGCUAGAGUCGUGUAGAGGGGGGUAGAAUUCCAGGUGUAGCGGUGAAAUGCGUAGAGAUCUGGAGGAAUACCGGUGGCGAAGGCGGCCCCCUGGACGAAGACUGACGCUCAGGUGCGAAAGCGUGGGGAGCAAACAGG